GAGUUUGAUCAUGGCUCAGAACGUACGCUGGCGGCACGCCUAACACAUGCAAGUCGAACGAAGUAGCAAUACUUAGUGGCAGACGGGUGAGUAACAUGUGGGUAUCUACCCUUUGGCCUGGAAUAACACGAGGAAACUUGUGCUAAUACCGGAUAAGUCUUUACGGAGAAAGCUUUAUGCACCAUUGGAUGAGCCCGCACUUGAUUAGUUUGUUGGUAGGGUAAUGGCCUACCAAGACCAUGAUCAAUAGCUGAUUUGAGAGGAUGAUCAGCCACAUUGGGACUGAGACACGGCCCAGACUCCUACGGGAGGCAGCAGUGGGGAAUAUUGGACAAUGGGCGCAAGCCUGAUCCAGCCAUACCGCGUGUGUGAAGAAGGCCCUAGGGUUGUAAAGCACUUUAAGUUGGGAAGAAAAGUUAUUGGCUAAUACCCAAUGACCGUGACAUUACCAUCAGAAUAAGGACCGGCUAAUUCCGUGCCAGCAGCCGCGGUAAUACGGAAGGUCCAAGCGUUAAUCGGAAUUACUGGGCGUAAAGCGCGCGUAGGUGGUUUAUUAAGUUGGGUGUGAAAUCCCCGGGCUCAACCUGGGAACUGCAUCCAAAACUGAUUCACUAGAGUACGAUAGAGGGAGGUAGAAUUCACAGUGUAGCGGUGGAAUGCGUAGAUAUUGUGAAGAAUACCAAUGGCGAAGGCAGCCUCCUGGAUCUGUACUGACACUGAGGUGCGAAAGCGUGGGUAGCGAACAGGAUUAGAUACCCUGGUAGUCCACGCCGUAAACGAUGUCAACUAUCUGUUGGAAAGCAUUGCUUUUCAGUGGAGCAGCUAACGUAAUAAGUUGACCGCCUGGGGAGUACGGCCGCAAGGCUAAAACUCAAAUGAAUUGACGGGGACCCGCACAAGCGGUGGAGCAUGUGGUUUAAUUCGAUGCAACGCGAAAAACCUUACCUAUGCUUGACAUACUUGGAAUACUUUGUAAUGAAGUAGUGCCUUCGGGAGCCAAGAUACAGGUGCUGCAUGGCUGUCGUCAGCUCGUGUCGUGAGAUGUUCCGUUAAGUCGGAUAACGAGCGCAACCCUUACCCUUAUUUGCCAGCGAUUCGGUCGGGAACUAUAAGGGGACUGCCGGUGAUAAACCGGAGGAAGGUGAGGACGACGUCAAGUCAUCAUGGCCCUUACGCAUAGGGCUACACACGUGCUACAAUGGAGAAUACAGACGGACGCUAAGCCGCGAGGUGGUGCCAAUCCUAGAAAAUUCUUCGUAGUCCGGAUUGGAGUCUGCAACUCGACUCCAUGAAGUCGGAAUCGCUAGUAAUCGCGUAACAGCAUGACGCGGUGAAUACGUUCCCGGGCCUUGUACACACCGCCCGUCACACCAUGGGAGUUGGUUCUACCCGACGGCCGUGCGCCAACCCGUAAGGGAGGCAGCGGACCACGGUAGGAUCAGCGACUGGGGUGAAGUCGUAACAAGGUAACC
rnacentral:rRNA from 1 species